AGCAGCAAGCAGGCAGGCAGCCUGGGAGUUUACAUGAAAAGCAUGAACUCUUUCUUGUCUUUCUUUUCUGAAACGUUUUGGAAGGAGAGUUAAGAAUAGCUCAGAAAUUGGUCUCAUCUUGUGGAUAGGAAGAAUGACCAGAAGCAUAAAGCUCAAUCUUCCAGCAAGUGCAAGGCACCGCUUUUGGUGUUUAUAGUAAAUCUGACAUGAGGAAUUGAUGUCUGUACAGUUCUGAACCAUCACACCGAAAGUGAAGGGGGUGGUAAAGCAGUGUAAUAAUGCAUAGGCUGCUGGCAAGAACUUUGGUCUGUCUUUAACUCAUUGUGCUGGGAAGUUUGUUGCUAAUGCAUCACACCGAGACUAGAGUAAGGAAAUAAGAGAAUGUAGGGCUAUGGAAGAACACGGUGAUCUCAUUCCUCCUCAUCAUUUAAUGCAAAGGAAACUGACAUGGAAAGAAGUGUCUGAGCUGACCCGAGGGAAGAGGCAAAAUUGGACAUUCCAAAGAUAGCGUAGAUGAACAUGACCAGGAAGAGCAGGAGGCCGAUGUUAAACAGA